rnacentral:rRNA from 1 species
ACUCCUACGGGAGGCAGCAGUAGGGAAUAUUGGGCAAUGGUCGCAAGACUGACCCAGCCAUGCCGCGUGCAGGAAGACGGCCCUCUGGGUUGUAAACUGCUUUUAUCUGGGAAGAAAAAGUCCAUGCGUGGAAAAUUGCCGGUACCAGAUGAAUAAGCACCGGCUAACUCCGUGCCAGCAGCCGCGGUAAUAC